GUGCUCACUUUGGCAGCAUAUAUACUAAAAUUGAAACAAUACAGAAAAGAUUAGCAUGCCGCCCGUGCAAGGAUGACUCGCAAAUUCGUGAAGCAUUCCAUAUUUUG